rnacentral:rRNA from 1 species
UACGAAGGGUGCAAGCGUUACUCGGAAUUACUGGGCGUAAAGCGUGCGUAGGUGGUUCGUUAAGUCUGUCGUGAAAGCCCCGGGCUUAACCUGGGAAUGGCGGUUGAAACUAGUCGACUAGAAUCUGGCAGAGGGGGGUGGAAUUCCACGUGUAGCAGUGAAAUGCGUAGAGAUGUGGAGGAACACCGAUGGCGAAGGCAGCCCCCUGGGCUGAGAUUGACGCUCAGGCACGAAAGCGUGGGGAGCAAACAGG